GAAUAAUGUAAAACUAAAACACAACAAAGUAGAUACUGGUAGAACAAAAUGAAACUAAAACACAACACAGUAGAUAGUGGGAGAACAAAGUGAAACUAAAACACAACACAGUAGAUAGUGGUAGAACAAUGUGAAACUAAAACACAACACAGUAGAUACUGGUAGAACAAUGUGAAACUAAAACACAACACAGUAGAUACUGGUAGAACAAUGUGAAACUAAAACACAACACAGUAGAUACUGGUAGAACAAUGUGAAACUAAAACACAACACAGUAGAUAGUGGUAGAACAAUGUGAAUCUAAAACAC